GUGAAAUUGAACUCGCUGUGAAGAUGCAGUGUACCCGCGGCAAGACGGAAAGACCCCGUGAACCUUUACUAUAGCUUGACACUGAACACUGGUCCUUGAUGUGUAGGAUAGGUGGGAGGCUUUGAAGCGUGGACGCCAGUCUGCGUGGAGCCAUCCUUGAAAUACCACCCUUUAAUGGCUGGUGUUCUAACGUGGGCCCCUAAUCGGGGUUGCGGACAGUGUCUGGUGGGUAGUUUGACUGGGGCGGUCUCCUCCUAAAGAGUAACGGAGGAGCACGAAGGUCAGCUAAUCCUGGUCGGACAUCAGGAGGUUAGUGCAAUGGCAUAAGCUGGC
rnacentral:rRNA from 1 species